rnacentral:rRNA from 1 species
UACGAAGGGGGCUAGCGUUGCUCGGAAUUACUGGGCGUAAAGAGCUCGUAGGCGGUGUGUCGCGUCGGCCGUGAAAACCUGCAGCUUAACUGUGGGCUUGCGGUCGAUACGGGCAUCACUGGAGUUCGGCAGGGGAGACUGGAAUUCCUGGUGUAGCGGUGAAAUGCGCAGAUAUCAGGAGGAACACCGGUGGCGAAGGCGGGUCUCUGGGCCGAUAUUGACGCUGAGGAGCGAAAGCGUGGGGAGCAAACAGG